rnacentral:precursor_RNA from 14 species
UAAAACAUGUAAUAAAAGUUUGGACCAAUGAGGCAGUGCACUUGCUAGCUGGCUGUUGUGUUCUGGAAGCUUACAGCUGCUAGCUGCACUCCACAUUGUUUCAUUCUGAGCAGCGUUUGGAUGUG